rnacentral:lncRNA from 1 species
GAUCCCUAAAUCUUCUGUUUUAAUUCCGAUUUCAGCACAAGUCACUUCUGACUUAUGUUUUACUUCUAUAAAUCCAAUAAAAAUAGUUUCCCACACUAUUUUUAUUUAUUUUUUAUUUUUAUACCAAAAUCUGGUAUGUUACAGUUGGUCCCCAAGAUAACAUCGAAUCCCCACAUCUUAUCUAGCACUAGCAGAUCAAUCGGCAUAAUCCAAUCGCCUAUUUGCACCGGACACGCCAAACACUCGUUG